ensembl:lncRNA
AAUUACUAACUGAUAGCAAAUGGAUUGUGUGGUUCAAUUUUCCAGAGCAGCAUCAAAAUUCUGAAGUGUCUGUAUAGUUUCAUAGGGUGGAGGCAUGGGUCCUUCUGCUCGUUUGGUUUGGAUAACUUGUGGGUCAUUCAGAGAAAAUGGCUAUGGACUUUGUGAGGAAGCUUUUUCCAAAAACAGGAUUGAGAAAGGACAUAGAAGACUGGAGAGUAAAUACACUGAAAUGAUUCACACCACCUCAAAUGAGUAUCACAGAUGAACCAAUGAGAUCCCUGAUAAUUCACAUUGGAGCUAGACUGAGGAGAGAUGGGCAAGUCUAGAAGACGAUUCCUCUCGGGGUGAUUUGAGAUGUUUUUGUGGACUUUCAUGACCACUGUCUUCAUGUCUGUAGGCUGUUCUUAUCAGAAAGAGCCUUGUUUUGGAUAUGUCUGUGUGGAUAUGAAUUUUCCAGUCAUGGAUAUGACAUAAUUCAGUAGCUGUAAUUUCCUGGAUCCCUCUUCUUGCCCUUUUUGAAGAUGUGAGUGACGUUUCCUUUUCUCCAGUCUUCAUGCACUUCUUCCAGUUGCCACAAGCAAGCAAAGAUAAGAUUGAGUGGCCUUGCAAUCAUCUUUGCAGCUCCCUUAGCACUUGUGGGCUCAUCCCAUCAUGGCCUAUGGACUUGUGAACAUUUAAAUUUGCUCAAGUGUUUCCUGAUAUGAUUAUCUUCCACCAGAUGCAUAUUCAUUGCUUCAGUCAUUUAGCAUAGCUUCUGGGAUUCCUUUCAUCAAAAAGGAUCCCCUAAAUGACUCACCAGCAUCAGCAAACAAACAGCAAAAUGAAGCCAGAGAAUUGCAUCAGAUAAUUUCUCAUUCCUUGAGUAAAAUAUGCAAAGAUUUAAAAUGCAUGCCACAGACUUCUCAGGAAUUUGCAUCUAUCUGAAGGUUCAUAGCAGGGGAGAUAUCAUUUUGGCAUUUGCUUUUUAUGACAGGUAGAGGAAAAUAAAAGCUUAAAGGACAUAUUAAUGGUUCACGUCCUCAUCAAGCUUAGCCAUCUGUAUUUAGCCAGUGUUUCUGCUGUAAAUAUGUUUGUGCCUUAUCAGAUUGACUACAGAGGUUAAUUAAACUUCUUUCUAGAUUUGAUAUCUUUCCAAGAACAUGUAGCAAGUGAUUUGUAGAGGCUAGUCUGUUUGAUACAGGUAAUGCUGCUAUACACAAGAAAAGAGAAAUAGUAGUGAAAGGCAACAGAGAUUUGCUGUGAAAAGAGAAAAGAGGUUAUACUUGCAUAAAAUUUCCUCCUAUGAAGGAGAAUGUAUACUCAGAGUCAGGCUUGCCAUCACUCACUUCAUAACAAGCCUUAAGGAAGCACAUCUAGUGUUGAGAAAAUGUAUGAAAAAUCUCGACUUUCCCUUUAGUGUAGUGAUAGCAGGAUAAAGGUCUAAAGUGACCAUUAGCUGUCAGUAAGCUCAUUGGUGCUAUGUAGGCAGAAGGCAUCAUGAAAAUGCUGAAGUACGUGUCUUAUCUGUCUCUAUUACUGCAUAGUAUAAAUUGGAUAAAUUUGAUAUGUCACUGUGCUCUACUGUACUUUACUUUGUGAAAACAUUUUUGUUGCCUCUUGAAUGGAUAUUACAUGUAAAACCAACAUUUCAAAAAGAUUGCUUUCCUGGAGAAAAUUCAUCCAGAAAUCAUGAAUCAGGAAAGCAUGAACAAAACAGCCUACCCAGGGGCUAUAGCAUUAAGGAUGUAAAAAAGAUAGGAUGCUGUGUAAAUUGGUUUGGCUGAAUCGCACAUACAUUAGAGGGAAAACACCCCAAAACCAAGAACCGUGUCAAAUAGAGGAGAAUACCACAGAGGGUUACUGCACCCCCACCUCUGCUCAGUGUUAGUACUUCUGAGUUUGAAAAACCACACAUUGAAGCCAAAACAUAUAUAAAGGGAAAUGGCGUAAACGAUCAUUUUCUACUCUCUCCUUCAGCAUCCCUAUCUAUGAAGGAGAGUGCAUCAGAACAGUUGAGUCUAUUUCCAGGAUUUCCCCUCCAAAUUUAUAGCAUCUCUUCUGCAGGGAUCAGACUCCAUCUUCAAGUCACUUAUGUUUCUAAUAGCCCUUUGUAAAACCAGUAACAAAUCUGGUGAUCUCAAGGUCAUGACCAUUGUACCGUUGUCUGAUGUUUUGUCUACUUCCGUUUCCAAUUUGCAUCAUUCUUCUUUGGUUUGUUCUUCUCCCCUCUUCAGACUUCAACCUUUUAUGUAUAUACAGUAAAACAUCAUAACAACCUUUUGAAUCUUUGGCUAAAUAAACUACUCUCUCUAAACUUAUUUUAAUAAACGACUUCAAAUUCCUUAAUCCUUCUGAGCAACAGAGGCUCAAAAGAGAAUACAAGUAUUUCGUGGAAAAAGGGAAAGACUGGUAGAUCAGAUGAGUGAAGGUUUAAGUGAGAGUGGGAAGACAAAUUAAGCCAUCCAUACUUAAAUUCAUAUAUCUAUGUGUGUUAUGUGGAUGUAUUAGCGUAUUUAGGCAUAAUUUAGUUUUUCUUUACAUAUAAACAGAGAUUUCGCAGUAUUAACUAUCUCAGCCUCUUAUUAUUAUACAGAAAAGCUGUCGAUAAAGGUCACUGCAAUGAUGUCUCAGUAUGACAAAGAGUUAUGUGCAAUCUGUGUAUUUCUGUUGGAAACGCAGGAGCUUCUUAUGUGGUUGU